UGAUUUUAAGUUUAAAAAGAAAAAAAAAAUAAAAAUAAAAAGAAAACCCAUUUGUAUUUCGUGGCUUAAUAAGGAGUAGCCACAACUUUCAAUUGUUGUCAACUUCUCAAACAUUCUUUGACAAAUAAAAACCCUUAGCUUCCUUCUUCACUCAAAACCCCAAAAAAACCCCAAUUCUCUCUCUCUUUCUCUCGCGGGUCCUGCCGAUACCCCCACCGACGAAUGACGGCGGGACUUAUUGUCGUCGUCGCGCCGCCGCUGCUGUUGUUCUAGCGGUGCUGCCGCAGUUGUUGUUGUUGGUUCUUUAAGUCAAAUUUUCUCUCUCCUCUGCUUCGUUUUUUUUUUCUGGUGCUGGUGCUGCUGCCACAGUUCCGUGGUCUGCUGCCGCGCUGGACGAUGUUGUCUGGGUUUGUGCCGCCGUGGUUGCUGGUGGUGUUGUACAAAUCAAUUGGUUUUUCUCCUUGAAUCAUUACAUUAGUGUGAUAUCAUAUGGGUGAGCAAUGUUAAGAACUCUUGGAGAUUGAUCAUAGAAUUGGAGAUGUUGAGCUCUUGAAGAGUUAUAUGGAAUUGAGCAUUAUUGGAGAAUAAAGGAGGUUUGCUCAUUAUGCGUUAGAGCUGGUAUUGCUCUGGAGCGGGUAUUGCUCCGUUAUGUGGGGUCAUGACCUAAAAGUCUUGCAAGCAGUACAAAAUGGAAGACAACUCUAUUCGUGUUCUCUUUCCCAGUAUAAUAUGAUUUCUGAAAGAAAAUAGAAUAUGUAUUUGAGUAUUCGAGUGGUUUGUGGAAAGUUAUUUCAAACUUUAAUUUCUGAAAUAAUGUUUUACUCACCCAAGUUUUAGAGUUCAUGCGCCAAUUUUGAAAAUAAUUAUCAAGGAACUUGUUAAGGAAUUUAUGCAGGAGUUAACUAUGAUAUACAUAUGAAUUAAAGGUUUUUUUGAUCAUAUGGAUUGAAUGUCUUUGUGUAUGAUCCACAGAAGUGGGAGAGAAUUAUUGACGUAAGGUAUGUUAGAGUUGAAUUCGAAGGAUCGUAUUAGUUCUAUGGAAGUGCGGGGUGUUACAGGCAUUAUUAUGUUGUGGGUCCUGACCCAUAGGUCCAGGAUCGUGUAAAAAGGUUUUGUUUCCGCUGCAAGUAAAUAGUUAAUUCAAGGUCAUUAGGUGUCAAUUGAGUUUUAUGAAUGUUAAGUAUGAUUAGCUAGCAGCUCGGAAGUGCGGGCUGUUACAGUGUUCAUCCAAGUAAUUUUGGAUAUCUUCCCAAGUUUCAUCAGUGGCAUGGUUUAUCCUGUCCAUAUCAUCAUUGUUCACAAUAGGCAAGGGAUUAGAGGAAGGAAUUGGAUCAGGGGAAGGAAUUGGAUUACUAUGAUCAGUGUUUGUUGCCCCGAAAGACAUUCUUACCCUUUCCUAACCCCUUAUCAAACUUCAAUUUCCUAGCAGCUUGAACACAAUCACUUAGCUUAUCUAGGUAAUCAACAUAUAUAUAUAUAUAUAUAUAUAUAUAUAUAUAUAUAUAUAUAUAUAUCACUUUACUUUUACUAAAUCUCUGCAACAUUGUCAUCAAAUCAUUAUCAUUAUGAAUUUUGACUCCGUCUUGCUUAUAAUAGUAGUGAAAGGUAGGAAAUUCAGGCAUCUUAUAGUUUUUGUUCCUAAACUCAUCCUCAUAGUCAUUUAUUAGGUCAAUCCACAUCACUUUUUCAAUGUCGUCAAUCAUCAAAUCAACAGUGUUACCCAUACAACUGAAUUUCAACAUAAUUUCAUCCAUUCUGCAAAACAUAAUAGCAACAUUAGCAAAUAGCAUAUUUAUUUUAAUUGCACCAGAAAUUAGUUUUAUUUUUUUUUACAAGUGUAUUGUAGCAUACUUCUAUCAUAUUAUUAUAUCU